rnacentral:rRNA from 1 species
UACGUAGGGCGCAAGCGUUGUCCGGAAUUAUUGGGCGUAAAGAGCUCGUAGGCGGCUUGUCACGUCGAUUGUGAAAGCCCGAGGCUUAACCUCGGGUCUGCAGUCGAUACGGGCUAGCUAGAGUGUGGUAGGGGAGAUCGGAAUUCCUGGUGUAGCGGUGAAAUGCGCAGAUAUCAGGAGGAACACCGGUGGCGAAGGCGGAUCUCUGGGCCAUUGCUGACGCUGAGGAGCGAAAGCGUGGGGAGCGAACAGG